rnacentral:rRNA from 1 species
GACGAACCGAGCGAACGUUGUUCGGAAUCACUGGGCUUAAAGGGCGCGUAGGCGGGCUGUCAAGUCUGGGGUGAAAUCCCGCGGCUCAACCGUGGACCUGCCUCAGAUACUGACGGUCUCGAGGGAGGUAGGGGCGAGCGGAACUGAUGGUGGAGCGGUGAAAUGCUUAGAUAUCGUCAAGAACACCUAUAGCGAAGGCAGCUUACUAGGCUGUAACUGACGCUGAGGCACGAAAGUGUGGGGAUCAAACAGG